UUAUACCUGCCAUAUUCUUACAUAGAUAGACUCGACUUGUGUUUCUCCAACUUGUUCUAUUCCACUAAAAUCACAGGAUAAACGAUAACAAACCGAGUAACACACCGAGUACUCUAUUAGAAAAUAAACGAUGCAUUAUGACGAACCAUGUGUUCCAUCUACUAGCGAGAUUUCGGUUAGAUCAAGUUGCGCGUCCGCCAUAUUGAAAUCCUGCUUCCGUGUAACGUAUCGGUUGUUUUGCACGUUCCUCGAUUAAAAUUAUCCCAAAAAUCGACUCUAAAGAUUAUUUCACUGUAACCUAUCUAAUAAAUAGUACGACUAUUUAGUAACAUAUUCGGAGAGGUAAAAUAGAAGGUAUCGAUUCACCAGUUAUAAUUAAAUAGGUUAUUUGUCGUAUAAAUCUCUACUAACAUUGAUAAUCUAAAACGUUUUACAAUCAUUCUUUAAGUUGCUUCGAUUAUCGAUGGAUCAAAGUAUUCUAAAAAAAGAAUAUCCUAAAUAAGACAAUCUUUUCUUAACAUUUAUACGAUUAAUCUGUAAGUUCUCCUUCGUUACUUAACAAUUAAAUUCUAUUGUAGCAAUAGAAGUGAAAUUCAAACGUUUAACAUGUUUCUCCAACUAGUCUUUAUGAUUGUACCAAUGAUUAUAAUAAAAAAAUUACAUUUAAACGUAUUUAUGCUCAACGAGCUGUAUUACGAGCUGUUACAUUUUAUCUUAUACCUUGUCAGACCACUUUAACGAACAUACCUGUAGAUACACACUCGAUGAAACGCCGAAUGGAACAAUUUCUGAAAUUUCUUUUCUUUGCUGUCCAUUUCUCGAGUAUCGUUUCAAAUCAAUUUCGUGUAGAAUCGCUCGUUAUAUGCAUUAUGUACAUUGAUGCACACGUCCAUCUGGUGGCAAUGCACUGUACUACCGGCUGCUGGCUCGGAGCGGAGCAUAGAAAGAGAAAAAGAGAGAAAGAGAGACACAGGUACGAGACGAGCUUGUGGUGUGAGGUAGCCACCAGUCAACAGCGGAGACGGAGACGGAGAGUCCGAGGUAGCCCGUGCCUGUAGCUGCCCGUGGCUCGUUGUAACGUGACGCGAAGGUGUGCCAAGCUCUUUCGCUUGCCUGUUACUUCGUCCGAAGACGCCCGAUCGUACGUCUACCAUAGUGUCGCGUAUCGAAAGUGUCGGUAGUAGUGUUGUGAUCUAUUGGCCUGUCUGUCCUUGUGUGCUAGCCGAAAAAACUAUACCAGCCGAGCCGUACAUCAUCGCGGAAAACUGUCAAGAGUGUCGUGUGAUCUCAGACGCUGGCUUCAAACGCGAACGCUUACGGGUAAUCUUCAUCGCGAUCGUGGGGUUGCACGAAACAUAAGGCACGCAGGCACGCAGGCACGCAGUCACGCAGGCACGCAGGCACCGGUCGUUCUUCGAUGUGCGAACGCACGCUAACGUGAUUAAUAGACGCCGAGUGAGAGAAAAUAGAAAUUAUCUGGAAGUAGCAACAGAGGCUGGUUGCUCGAGAAGGCAGAAAAGUUGUUCCCAAAAUGCCGCAGGAUUUCACGACCGUCCGAAGACUGCGAGUCACGUCACGAGCGUGUGACGAAUUAACUAGCUGAGGAUGUCGGAGCAAAACGGGCCCAGCGAGGGCCCUGGACCGGGCCCAGGGCCGGGUCCUGGUUGGUGGCCAACCUCACAGACCUGGAAGACGAACUCCUGCACCGCUGCCUCCUCGUCCACUUGUUCAACCGUUCCAGACAACUCCGCCUCCGUCUCUGCCUCUUGCACCACCUCUACGUCCUCCUUGGCGACCACCACAUCGGCCACCUCAUCGACCAGCUGCUGUUCCUCCACCCCUGGCGGUGGACCGUCCUGCACGAUCACCGCGGCCCGCUCCUCCGAAACGGGAAAGAACGUUUCUGUCACGACGAUCAAUGUACCCCCUAAUCAGGACAUGCACGAUGGCAAGGGUAUAUGCAAGUAUCUUGGCGGCCAGAAUGGCGUGACAGUAUCGGUAGUGUCAAGCUGUGGCUCGAUAUUGGGAUGUGGAAGCGCGAAUGUUGUGUCUACCACGGGGAUAGGCAGUAGCACCGGCACACAGAGUAUUGGCAUCGGAGUGAACAUCCUUGACCAGAGCACGGCGGAUGAUGACGCGGAGGAUAGCGACGUUGAGAUAAGCAAAAUCGACUUCCGAGGGGUGAAUUUGCGUACGAAGAAGAAGCGAGACGUGUCUGGUAGUCAGAGUCAAAGCGGGGAGAAAAUCGGCGAUGGAGAGGUCGAGGAUGGAAACGGUUGUUACGAUGGAAGCGACGCGUCUCAGCAACAACCGGAGAGGCCCAUGUCAUGGGAGGGAGAGCUAUCCGAUCAAGAAAUGUCUUCCAAUACGAUUACAAAUCAAGAUACACACGAGGACACGUCAAUGGAGGGUGUUCAAGUAUGUGGCGCGAGUCCCGGGCCAAUGGAACAAAAAUUUCCCAUAAAACCAGAGCCAGAUUUUCAGUCCAACCCAGGUUUCACAUUUGGCUCUUUUCACGACACCGGAUUACCUCUGAAUCACGGCCAGCAAAUACAACAACAGCAACAACAGCGCAACAUUGAGAAUCUUGAACAGACACAACAAAACGAUUUGCCUCUUCUCGUAGGAAAAUUACUUGGUGGUUACAAUAGUUCGACUCCGAAUCACAGUCCGGUGUUGAAUCCUAGACACCAUUUAACAAAGCAUAGCCACACGAGAUCGCAGGUGCCGUCACCGGACUCGGCCAUUCAUUCCGCAUACAGCGUAUUCAGCUCCCCGACGCAAAGUCCUCACGCAACUCGUCACUCUCCCCUGGGCGCGGCAAGUCCAGUUCCAUCUUCGUCGCUAUCCUUGUCGCGACACAGUUUCAACAAUUCCACUUCCUCGUUGUCGCUCUCGUUGUCACACUCCCUCUCGAGAAACAAUUCGGACGCCUCGAGCAGCUGCUACAGCUACGGCUCUCUCAGCCCACCCACACACUCGCCCGUCCAGCAACCGAGACAUCCGCAGCAUCAUCAGCAUCAAGUUGCUCAAGGAAGCCCGCUUCAUCUGCCAGCAACCGCUUCUCCCGCCAUUACUCAUCACUACACUUCCUCUGCACCGGGUUCUGAGCUAUCUCCAGAAGGACACGCUGCUACGGACGAUCAGGAGGACUGUAGAAUACCCUCGGCACCGUCUGGUAUAUCCACGAGGCAGCAACUAAUAAAUACCCCGUGUCCAAUUUGCGGCGACAAGAUCAGUGGUUUUCAUUAUGGAAUAUUCUCGUGCGAGUCGUGCAAGGGAUUUUUCAAACGCACCGUCCAGAAUCGAAAGAAUUAUGUGUGCCUUAGAGGCGCGGGCUGUCCAGUCACCGUUGUUACCAGGAAAAAAUGCCCCGCCUGCAGAUUCGACAAGUGCCUCAGUAUGGGUAUGAAGCUCGAGGCGAUUAGAGAGGAUCGCACCAGGGGUGGCAGAAGUACCUAUCAGUGUACAUAUACUUUUCCGCCAAAUUUUGUCGGUAGUCCUGCAAGUAACAUGUCCAGCGACAAAUUAGCUACCGGAGGAAAUUGUAGUCCAGCUCCAGCUGGUAACGAACAUCACUAUCCGGCAAGGCACCAUUCGAAUCACUCCCAUAAGAUGCAAGUGGUACCGCAACUUUUACAGGAUAUCAUGGACGUAGAGCACUUGUGGCAUUACAAUGAUAACGAUCGUAUGACCGGGAUUCAAAACGCAGGAACGAAUCUUACUAGAAACAACGAUUCAAUGUUAUUGAGUGUUAGAAGCAACGGAGGAUCUGGAAUAGAGAACGACACAGGUUCAGGUAUUGAGUGUUCCUCCAAUAGAACUACAGGAAAUGGCAAUCCUAGUAAUAGAAGAGAAAACAGAUCAUGCUCCAAUGUUUCUAACGUUGGUAACGAACAACACGCUGCAUCCGUUGGUAGCAGUUCUCAAAUCAACAAUACGAAUUGUAAUCCGACUCAACAUCCUGAUUUUUUGUCGAACCUCUGCAAUAUCGCUGAUCAUCGACUCUACAAAAUAGUGAAGUGGUGCAAAAGUUUGCCGUUAUUUAAAAACAUUUCGAUCGAUGAUCAGAUCUGUCUGUUGAUUAAUUCUUGGUGCGAGCUACUGCUUUUCUCAUGCUGCUUUCGCAGUAUGAGCACUCCCGGUGAAAUUAGAGUGUCUCUCGGUAAGUCGAUUACACUGGAACAAGCUAGGCAGCUUGGCUUAGCGACCUGCAUCGAGAGGAUGCUUGCAUUUACUAACAAUUUGAGAAGGCUCCGAGUAGAUCAGUACGAAUACGUGGCGAUGAAGGUAAUAGUACUGUUGACCUCUGAUACGAGUGAACUGAAAGAACCUGAAAAAGUUAGAGCAUCUCAGGAAAAGGCUUUACAAGCGUUGCAACAAUAUACUAUCGCAAGGUACCCAGAAAUGCCUGCUAAGUUUGGCGAAUUAUUAUUGAGAAUUCCAGAUUUACAAAGAACAUGCCAGGCAGGAAAGGAAUUAUUAAGCGCUAAACGUGCUGAAGGAGAAGGCAGCUCGUUUAAUCUGUUGAUGGAAUUGUUGAGAGGAGAUCACUGAAUUAUUAUUACCACAUUGAACAAUGCCAAAUUAUUAGGGAUAUAGAUCUAUUUACAAUGGAUUAAACAGGAAACGAUGGUUAUUUAACUUGAACUAAAUACACUAAUAUGAUAUAACUAAGACGACUAAAUGGGUAAUUCACAACUCACAAUUAAUAGCUUACAACUCGUAACAACUCGGCAACUCCUCGACUCUUCACAACUCGACUCUCGACUCACGACUCUCCAACUCGACUCUUCACCACUCGAUUCUCCAGAUUCCACGCUUAUGAGGUCCAUAAGUUCAGGGAAUCGGAUGUAUUAAAUAAUGAAGGAGUAGCGGAGAUGUAAACAAAACCAUAAGCAUCGCAGUCCACGAUACAUUAGUUCUGGGUGAAGGGACUACAUUCUUGUAAGACUAAUUAGAGGUUCACCGUUUAAUGCAUAAAGCGAAUGAGAAAUGAUGUUUCGUUUCUCUAUAUUUUUUUGUUUUUGUUCUUUUUUUUUUUAAAUUGAAAUUACUUUCACGGGGAUGUUGCAUAAUACAACUCCACCUUGAAACAUAACGAAUUUCGAAGCGGCCUAUGGUAUGCUCGAAAUAUUCAGCAUGCAUAUUUCUAUGCAAAAGAGACUGAAAGUAUAAUUGAAGCAGAGAUGCAGAGCAUUUACUUUUACAAUAAUAUCGAUGUACAGAGAUAGAAAGAUAGAGAUAGAGAGAUAGAGAGAUAGAGAGAUAGAGAGAGAGAGAGAGAGGGAAAGGAAGAGUGAAAGAGAGAGUGAAAGAGAGCACGAGAGAGAGAGAGAGAGAGAGAGAGAGAGAGAGAGUGAGUGAGUGAGAGUGAGAAUUGGUAUCAAAUAGCAUAAAAAUGCUAAAUUUUAUUAGGUAGGUUCAAGUAAACGACGAAUACAGAGUUUUAACCUUGAUAAUUAUUAUUACUAUUAUUAUUAUAGUAAAACAACCAGUAUUUUGUAUUGUUCUGCGCUUACUUAAAAAUAAGACAUAGAAUGAUGUCUUAUGUCCCGGUAAUGGAAGUGUACUUAAAACAUGAGUCGACCAAUUGUUUACUUAUAGAGCAGUUAAUCGUGUAAUAAUUAAUAGGUAAUAACAUUUAGCUUAUCAACAGAACAUUAUAAUUUUUAUCUAUUACACAAAUACAUUUUUUUUUUUUUUUAUUCUCUGUACGUUUUAAUAACACACCGGAUGAAAGACGUACGUACGAUUUCGUACGAUAGCUCGAUACGUACAUAUCUUUUUAAACCGCGCGAAACGAUUUCUGAUAUUCUUUUUCUUGUAAAUGAAUUUUAUUUUGAGACGCACGCGUUUCCAAAUUCUAUGUUACAUUCAGUGAAAUUUUUGUCGGAUUUUUAUAAAAAUGACGUUUGUUUGUUAUUAAAAUUUUACGAUUAUUUUAUUGUUUAUAAACUAAGACAGUUUACGUUUGGUUUAUUAUGUUUAUGUAAAAAAUAUAUAUCCUUUGUCGUAAUGAAACUAGAAUGUUAGUACCAGUGAUUAAGGAUUUUUAUAAAAAAUGAAUAUUAUGAAAAUUAUAUUCGCGAUAUUUGGAAAGUUCAAUUAUAUUCGUCGAAAGUUACAUUAUCGAAUGUUAAUUAGGAAAAGUUAAUUUGUUAUUCGUUUAAUAUCAUUGUUGAAGAAAAAAUAUGAAAUGAAAAUUAUUAAAUUAUUAUGAAAGUUAUAAAAGUAUAAUGAAAAAUUGCGCUUUUCUGUUGUAAACUGAUGCAAUUUCUUAUUUUGAGUAAAUGUAGAAAUUUUUUUAUAAAAAAUUAGUCGUAAAAUGGACGAGCUGGAGCUUCCUAUUUAAAAUGAAGAAUACUCAUCUCUAUCGUUGGUACUAUAACGAGACUGUCAUAUCAACGCAUUAUUUUAUUAACACGACAAUUAUGUUUCUUUUCUUUAUGAUUCAUCGAUAAGAAUAUUACAACAUGCAAUAUUUAAUCUGUAAUGUAACUUGUAAGAAUCGUCUUCCCAUCUUUAUAACGGAUUUCCUUGUGCAGAGAGUGUAGGUUGACCUGUUCUAUAUACAGAGUGUUCAAUAAAUAUGAUAAAAGACAUCAUUUUGAUUUCAAUCGUACUAUCACGAUACAGCUGAUACAAGUUUGCUUUUAAUAUAAUAUACAGAUAUUUAAUGAAAUAAGCCUCGUAUUUAUCAAUUUUAAUGAAACACUCUGUGUAAACAUACAUAUUGCGCGCAUCGUGAAACAUUUUGUUAGUAAAAAAAAGUCUAGUUUCCUCGUCGAAUAUCAAAUUCUUAUUGUGCUUCUCGUUGAAAAAAUAUUCGCUUGUUAGUCAUCUAACGCGUUACGUCCUCUUCAGGUUCCAAUACCGUAUAAUUUUUCGCAAUAAGAUUUUCUUCCCUGUAGAGGCCAACUUCUCUAUUUCCAAGGAAUCUUUUUAAAUAGUUCUCACUUAGUUUGAAUUUGAAUAACAAAGAAGAUUAAAGAAAAACUUUUAGCCAUAAAUAUAUCAAUGAUGAUACAACUUAUCUGAAUCUAGUAGUAACCUAGUGAGAAAAUAAUUCCUGCAAACAUUGUUUUGCUAUAAUUAGUUAUUGCCAUUGUAAUUAUUCGAAAGAAAGGAAAAGCUAUAUUGUGGCGAAAAAUACAGAGUAUUUUUUAAAUUACGCAGUAAAGAAUGUGUACGGCAUUCAGGUUACAAUUUUUAAUAACGAACUAUGUGUAUAAAUAGAAAUUCGCCCGUUAAAAAAAAAGUAUUAUUAGUACAUUAGUUAGUGAAAUACUAUGAAAAAGAUUACUGAAAUAUUUGUGCCUUCGAUAAAAUUUAGUAUUUUAAUCGUUUCGUAAUUACUGCGAGGUAGACACGAGAAGAAUUAUAUUAAGAACAUCGUGUAGAGAUAAUAUAAUUAUAUAAAACCAACGACCGACAGUCUGAUUAAAAUUAUUAGUCAAUGAAGCAUUCUUUAACGAUUAUCUUUAAUGAUUAUCGAACUUUCGAUAAGCUUAUUUCUCUGUUUCAAAGAAACUGUAAACCAUCCAAAUGCUUCUCUAACAUCCGUCUUUGAUUCGAUAUUGAAAAUUUCCUCUAUUUCAUUUUAUCGAUCGAUACCGAGCGAAAUCGAAAAAAUAUAACUAUAUCGUGUAUCUUGGCGUACAUUACAUUUUACAUCUACCAUAUAAUUAAACUAUCUUUUAAUCAUACAUUGAAUAAAGAGAAAAUCGAUUGGUAGCUAAAACAAUUAUAAUGAUAAAAUUUAACCGAUAAAGUCUUUCACUCUAAAUUAGUUUAUGUCGAUUAUUCUGUAUAUGGUAGAGCUAAAUUUUAAUCAACUAUUUAUAUGAAAGAAUUGAAAUUUAUUUUAGAUCGGAAGUUUUCUACCAAUUACAAGGAAAUAUAAAUUAUAUGACGCUGCUGUAAAUAUAAAAGUACAGAAUAUUAGUUUUCUGUAACGUAUGUAUAAAAGAUAGAGAGGGACAAAGAGAUUGAUGAGUCUGAUAAACGAAUAAAUUUAAACGUAGGAAAAAGGGAAAACAAAGAAAAGUACGUGCACGAGAAAGAAAAUAUCUGUGAAUGCGUAACAUUAAUUUAAUUUAAGCGAAAGUGCACGGAAUAAAAUUAUAAUGACGUUAUAUUUAUAUUUAACUCGUUAAAAAGAUUAAAUCUCGAUUGUGAUCUAAAUUUGAUAAGAAAGAAAAAAAAAAGAAAAAGAAGAAAAAAACAAAGGAAUAUGUGCAGACGUUUAUAGCUUGAUCAACUUUGUUUCAUGUCCACUCAACUAUGACGAAAACUUUAGUUUAAGCACAGUUUUAUUUAAUUGAUCUUCGAUUAAAACUUCAAUAAUAACAAUAAUAUUAAUAAUCGUCUUCCGUUUGCAAACAUAUAUUAUAGUAUUAAUUAUAUAACAACAAUGAUAACAAAAUUGGUCAAAAUUUCUUCCCCAAUCGUGACAAUAUACAUAUACACUGGAAAUAGUCGAAUUCAUUGAUAUACAUCGAUCAAAGAGCUUAAAUACAGUACAUUGUAACGAUUAAUACACAUAUAUGUACAUGUGCGUGUUGAAACUAAAGAAAUCGUAUGCUAGAAAUAACAAAUAUUACUCGCGCAUAGUUUAAUAUGUAAUCUUUAAUAGGAUUGUCAAACGCAGCGGUGAAAAUUUUUAUAUCAGAUGCAAACAUAUUAAUGAACUUUAUAUCAUGCACGAUCAACUGACUUGCAUUUAUUUUUCUUCCUAUACUAUAGUAUUUCGUGUUUUCUUUCUAAUAAUCCUUUUUCUUUUCAUAAGUUUUCAUAAGAACACGUCAUCAUUUCUCUAACACAGGCUGUAAACGACUUUGAUUAUCGACAAAACUAUUUGCUUGUCAAGUCAGUUAAUCGGACAUUGCGAAACCAGAUUGCGAAAAUAUUAUAAUCGCGAAAAUACUUCGUAUUCCCAAUAUAGAAAGAUGGCUAUUUAAACGCAAUUAGAGGAUAAUUUUAUACAUACAACAUGUUCAAUACGAAAUAAAUAAAUUUUUAUAAAGUA